UCCCGCCAGAAAGCCGCCGAGCUUCUCGAGCUUUUGCUGCGCAUGCGCCCACGCUGCCCUCUCCUCUCGAGUUCGCUUGGCGUGGGGGGGGGGAACCCACUGCUCCGCGCGUGCGCAAACUCUUCCUGCGCAUGCGGGAAAAGGGGAAGCGGAGAAUUCUGUUCGAGGGACCGCGAAGGACUUCGUUUUAUUGGCUUGUCCUGCCUCAAAUAACGAAGGCUGAGUCGCUGUGCCUCCACAGGAAAUGUUAGCAGCGGCUACCCAGGUCAGCGCCGCAUUACAAGAAAAAGCAUUCUUUAAAAGAAUCACUGCGCAAAAGGAUUUGCAAAAGAGAGGAUGUGUUGAAUGUAGAGUUGGAAACAAACUCAAGAGUCAUCUAGUCUAAACCUCUGCAAUGCAGGAAUCUCAACUAUAAAAAAAGAGCAAUGCAGUGAACCCUCUGGAACAUCUUCACUAUCGACUUGAUGCAUCUGACAUAGUUGGUUCAUGCCUUUGAAAGCUCAUGCAGCAACGUAAGCGUUACUUUUUAAAGUUAUAAGACUUGCCUCUGCAUUUCUAAAGGUUUCUUAGCACAAUUAGUUUGGGCUAGCACAAUUAAUUUGGGUUUAUUUUGCACCCUUUGCUUAUAUUAUUUGCAUGGGUCAUUGUGUGUCAAUGCAACUUUAUGUACAGCACGAAAGCAGCAGUAACAGAGGAAGGUGUACCAGCUGGGGACCUUUGUGGGCUCCCAUGCUCGUGCUUUCGUGUUAAAUAGGAAAUGUGAGAAAAAAGCCUCUGAGAAAAAAGGAAGGAGGUGGUUUGAGAGAAUCCGGCACUGUCUCAGCUCUUCAAAUUGUGUAGAUUGGCCACAACAAUCCUCUGGUUCUGCCAGGAAGGACUGAAGGUGGAGCCAAGGAUCAGUUGUAAAGAUUGACUGUGCAAAAGAAAAAUCUACUCUGAUGCAUUCCAGGAGCAUGUCUAUCCCAGACACAAACUGGUAAAAGGCUCCCACUAAACUACAAUUCCCAGAAUUCUCUGGAGGACUGUUGAACAGCUACAUUGUUAUUAACGGAUAUGAGUUUGUUGUUUAAUUAUGUCCUAAAACAGGGGUUGUCAUUUAAUACGUUUAGGUUUUGUAUGCCCUGCCUUUAGCUGGAUAUACUAUGAUUUUUUUUAACAUUGUUGUAAUUUUGGAAAAGCGUCAAUAAUAUCCAGGAAAACCCACAUCAGAAGUGUUGAUUUUUUGGCAAUUUUUGCAAAAAAAACUCAACAGCAUUUGUGUCUGGAUUUUCACUUUUUGGCAACCCAAAACAA